UCCCCGAUAGCUCAGUUGGGAGAGCAACUGACUGUUAAUCAGUGGGUCACUGGUUCGAGCCCAGUUCGGGGAGCCA
rnacentral:tRNA from 1 species